CCAACUGUAUAGAAAGAGACGACUCUGUCGCUUGUCCUCUUCUCUUUUUCUUCGGGCAUCAGCGACAACAUUGACGGACGACGUGUUCGACUUCACCGUGCACCUGUACAGUGCUCUCCAAGGCACAAGGAGGCACCGCAGGGGGAAGGCUCGGAGCAAACCAUGCCUCUGUUGCUAUGGAUCCUGCGGGUCCAACUUGGCAUCCGGC